GACGAACGCUGGCGGCGUGCUUAACACAUGCAAGUCGAACGGAAAGGCCCUGCUUUUGUGGGGUGCUCGAGUGGCGAACGGGUGAGUAACACGUGAGUAACCUGCCCUUGACUUUGGGAUAACUUCAGGAAACUGGGGCUAAUACCGGAUAGGAGCUCCUGCUGCAUGGUGGGGGUUGGAAAGUUUCGGCGGUUGGGGAUGGACUCGCGGCUUAUCAGCUUGUUGGUGGGGUAGUGGCUUACCAAGGCUUUGACGGGUAGCCGGCCUGAGAGGGUGACCGGCCACAUUGGGACUGAGAUACGGACCAGACUCGUACGGGAGGCAGCAGUGGGGAAUAUUGCACAAUGGGCGGAAGCCUGAUGCAGCAACGCCGCGUGCGGGAUGACGGCCUUCGGGUUGUAAACCGCUUUCGCCUGUGACGAAGCGUGAGUGACGGUAAUGGGUAAAGAAGCAACGGCUAACUACGUG
rnacentral:rRNA from 1 species